rnacentral:lncRNA from 1 species
AGAAAUAUGGCCAUCAGCAAUCAGGCCUUUUCAGUGGAGUGAUUGAACUAGCCAAUCAAAAUGAAUAUUCAAUAUGAGCUGAGCAGUCUUACACAUGUGGUAUACUCCAAGGUUGUUACUCCAUGACACUGAGUUGGGUGUCUCUCCUCCAAGCAAUGAUUCAGCAACCCUGGCUCCUCCCACCUUAUGGCUCCACCAUCCAAUGCAAAGGCUGCUAAGGUCACUCUGAGGGUCACUCCAUUCAUGAUGACUAGGAGGGGAAAAGAGAUUGGAG